rnacentral:misc_RNA from 1 species
GAAGGAUCAACCAACGGUUUGACGAAGAAUUCUCCACCGCAUGUCGAGACGAUCCUAGCGUCCCUUGCUCGGAUUUUGGCCAACCGCGUGCGGUAUCACACGGGAGACCAGCUUCCGUCCCGUUUCCUUAGAGGAUGGGGGGACGACGAUUAGUGACACCCAGGCAGACGUGCCCUCGGCCAGAAGGCUUGGGGCGCAACUUGCGUUCAAAGACUCGAUGGUUCACGGGAUUCUGCAAUUCACACCAAGUAUCGCAUUUCGCUACGUUCUUCAUCGAUGCGAGAGCCGAGAUAUCCGUUGCCGAGAGUCGUUUUAGACUUUAUAUCGCAGCACCGCAUCCGCGCACACACCGUCUCCGGGGUGACGGAUGCAGGCUGUUUAGUUACAUGUUCCUUGACACUUUUCGUGCCGGGGUUUUGUGAUAUCCGGAAGCUAUGCGCAUGACACCAACAAGGUGAUGAUUACACUCGAUGAUGAGCAUACGCAUAACCACGGAACCGGUAAGCACGGAAACGGUUAAGAAACCGGCUUACCGAUGGUGAUGAUCGRUUGUUCUCGGGUCGUUCUGUUUUGAACAGGUUUCGACAAUGAUCCUUCCGCAGGUUCACCUACGGAMACCUUGUUACGACUUCUCCUUC